rnacentral:sRNA from 1 species
UUCGCGACGUCCACCUCUUCGCUCUGCUGGUAGAGUUUGCCCACGGCUUCGCUGAUGGCCGGGUGCCACGUGACGGCACGGUUAACGGCUUCGCCAAGCUGUAAUGAACCGGGAGCGGCGUUGCCAGCCACCGGGGCCACGCGGCCGUUGAGUGAGGGGAGUUCCUGCGUUUCGCGAAGCUGUCCGGUAUUGAUGGUUGCCGCCGGAUUUGCGCAGAAAGCGGGCACAGAUAUCAGGCAGCACGAGAGCCACCAGUAAGGCAUCUUCAUUCCCAUGUCAUGUCCCUAAUAAAAAUGUACAGCUUUAUUAUUAAUGCCCGGGCGCUGUGCGCCCGGGUC